rnacentral:rRNA from 1 species
AACGAACGCUGGCGGCAUGCCUAACACAUGCAAGUCGAACGAGACCUUCGGGUCUAGUGGCGCACGGGUGCGUAACGCGUGGGAACCUUCCCUUAGGUUCGGAAUAACUCCCCGAAAGGGGUGCUAAUACCGGAUAAUGUCUUCGGACCAAAGAUUUAUCGCCUUUGGAUGGGCCCGCGUUGGAUUAGCUAGUUGGUAGGGUAAAAGCCUACCAAGGCGACGAUCCAUAGCUGGUCUGAGAGGAUGGUCAGCCACACUGGGACUGAGACCCGUCCCAGACUCCGACGGAAGGCAGCAGUGGGGAAUAUUGGACAAUGGGCGAAAGCCUAAGCCAGCAAUGCCGCGUAAGUGAUGAAGGCCUUAGGGUUGUAAAGCUCUUUUACCCGGGAUGAUAAGGACAUAACCGGGAGAAGAAACUCCGGCGAACUCCUU